ensembl:lncRNA
AACACAUCUUGACUGAUGCCUGCCAAGUACAAACGCCCUGGCAACCAUUUCCUUUGGAUAAAGACCCAGAAGUGGGAUCACUGGAUCAUAUGUGAUAGUUCUGCUUUUAAUUUUUUGAGGAACCUCUGCAUGACUUUCCAUGAUGGCUGUAACAAUUUACAGCUCCAUCAGGUCUUGGAUAAAACCACUGGAGUGAGGCGCUGAAGUGGACCGGAGGAAACGUUUGGAGAAAGUCAAGAUUCUGAAAGACCAGAAUGUUUCAUGCAUCAUCUACAUAUAAAGUCCCCAAGAGUGAUGGCAGGAUUCAUCCUCAUUUAGAAAGAUAGCCUCCAUGGAAAUAGGUCCUUCGUAAUGCAGGGGAUUGACUUCACUAUUUGAUGAGUUAUCAUACCCUGGAAGAUAGCUUUCAAAGAGGCAUCAAGUGUUCAUUACCUGCAGCAUGUUCUAUCUGUGUUUCUUAAACUUUAAUGUGCAUUAAAACAUCACCUGGAAUCUUGUUAAAAAGCAGAUGCUGACCGAGCCAUUCUGGAGGGGGACCUGGGCGUCUGCAUUUUAAAAAGUCUUCGGUUGACUGCACUCGAGUAACAGUGAGG